GUACUCUCACACUCCUCAUCAUUUGGAUUGGGAGCGGUGGACCUGGGUGUUGCCGCGUUACUGUGGCUCACCUGAAAUGCAUUCGUGCACCUCCUGGUUGGACAUAGUACGGCGUGAUAAGUGUCUUCGCCGGCACCUCGCAAGAGGGUGGCUGAUCGGGAGCUCUGUGCUUCCAACCGUCCUCGGACAAUGACUGACA
rnacentral:misc_RNA from 1 species